rnacentral:rRNA from 1 species
CUACGGGCCGCAGCAGUGGGGAAUAUUGCACAAUGGGCGCAAGCCUGAUGCAGCCAUGCCGCGUGUAUGAAGAAGGCCUUCGGGUUGUAAAGUACUUUCAGCGGGGAGGAAGGGAGUAAAGUUAAUACCUUUGCUCAUUGACGUUACCCGCAGAAGAAGCACCGGCUAACUCCGUGCCAGCAGCCGCGGUAAUACGGAGGGUGCAAGCGUUAAUCGGAAUUACUGGGCGUAAAGCGCACGCAGGCGGUUUGUUAAGUCAGAUGUGAAAUCCCCGGGCUCAACCUGGGAACUGCAUCUGAUACUGGCAAGCUUGAGUCUCGUAGAGGGGGGUAGAAUUCCAGGUGUAGCGGUGAAAUGCGUAGAGAUCUGGAGGAAUACCGGUGGCGAAGGCGGCCCCCUGGACGAAGACUGACGCUCAGGUGCGAAAGCGUGGGGGGCAAACAGGAUUAGAUACCCUGGUAGUC